CAGUGCUCACUUCAGCAGUGUAUAGCUAAAACUGGAACGAUACAGAGAAGAUUAGCAUGGACUUGGCUCAAGGAUGACGCAAAGUCAUGAAGUGUUCCACAUAUUU